GGGGAGAUCAGACGCAACAUCAGAGACGCACGAACAGAUCAUCUUGGACGGUUUUGAGAGCAGUUUUUACAAGAAUUAAGAGCAGGGAAUCGUUGGAGUAAAGCGGGAAGCACGCGAAACGAAGAUUAACGGGUUUUACCACUCUAAUUUAUCUUGUUCUUAGUUUUUCUUGUUUAACUCAAUGAAUUCUUGUUUGAGACCUUGUGUUUUUAUUUUUAAAACCAUGAUUUCCGGCUAAAACUCUCAUACUACCUAGGCAUGACAAUAGUUAAAUAAAGGUUGGAUUUUUAUUUGGUUUUUGGCGUGGUUGUGGAUCUUUCUUGUACUGUAAAAGCUAUGGGAAUUUAACUUGGUGCAUAUGCGUGCUUGUGAUUGUUUGAUUAUUGUUUAUUGCUUCGUUCGAUUCUUGGUGACGGUCUUUAUCACGGAAUAGAGUCGGGCUAGGGUUUUAGGUUUUGGUGAGUGUCUAUAUCACAUAAUAAAUCUCUAAUCCUUUAGGGUGAAAAUCUAGUAAGUAACCUUAGAAGUAAUAUUCGGUAAUUUAAUAAAAUCAAGUGUGCUGCUAAACUCGUCGCUGUGAGGCUCGAGGAUAUUAAUAGGUCUCGGUUUGGUUAUAAGGACUUAACAUUCCAUUGUCUAUUAAGCCAAGAUUAAAACCCAUUGUCGCUUUAGACGUUCGCGCUGAAAGGUAGAGCGUCUUACAUAAGCACUUUCAAGAAACUAGAGGACGGAAAAGAAAUCUAGAAAACCGGUGAGCGUAACAGCCUAGGUAGUGCCAUAAGAAUCACCUUGAGAGUGUUUGAGGGGCUUAGUGGUGUCUUAAUAGGUUUAGUAUCCAAAGAUCCCGGUUCCACACCACAAAAUCAUCGAAUAGAGAUCCAUUCUGAGUUUAGCUUGCGUCUAGCCUAGGUAGUCUUCAUCAUCUCUGGUCAAAACCUUCGUUCGAGUUCGCGUCUAGUUAGUAUAAUUUUAAUUAUAUUUUUAGGAUAUAUAGAAAAACCUCCCCCAUCAAAUAAACAAUUAGUUAAGUCCGUGUCAGUCUAAGUCUAGAUAGAGUCGUUAGCGUAUUCAUUAGAGUCUCUUGGGUUCGAUACUCGGACUUCCUUAGGCUAUACUGCAUCGAUCGGUACACUUCCCGGUCGUGUCGUUUAGGUUUUAGAGAGUCUUAGUUUUAUAAAUUUAAAACUUAGAGAGUCUAGUUUAGGGUUUAAUUUAGUUAAUUUAGUUAAACCACUUUUAGCACAUCAAUUAUCAUCUGAUUUUCACUUCGAUUUUCAUAUGAUUUUAUAAAAGAAAAUAGUUUUACAAGGUUCAUGACUACUUUUGUGCUAAUGUUUGAAUUGAUCAUGCUACACUUAGGCGGACUUGGGCCUUAGUGACUUAAAAGACAGUUUAAUUAUGUUAUGUUUUCGUUAAUGCAAAGACAAUGUAAACAAUUUACUUAAUAAUAAAAAACUUGAAUUACCAUGUUUGUGGAAUAAUAAUUCUGUCGCUCCACUCCCCGACGUCUCCGCCGCGGUUUAUUUUUUUACGCGGUCGGGGUGUGACAAAUACGACAGCUCCGAUGAUGAUUCCAGAACAUGACGACGACUCCGACGAUGAUGAUUUAGGAAAACCAAGCAAACAGCCGGUGACUCAUGAGAAAUCGACAUCUUCAAAAAAAUAAUAAAAGCUGGUGGUGGCCGGAGGUGUGUGGUGGGUGGUGGUGGCCGGAGCCGUACCGCGAGUGGUGGUGGCCGGAGAUGUAGUGUCAUCUUAUAUAUAGUGUAUUUUCAAGUAUUAGCUGUUUGAAUAUUAAUUAUCACUCUACUAAGUGUAUUUUUUAAAAUUGUUUGC
rnacentral:lncRNA from 1 species